rnacentral:rRNA from 1 species
AGCGAACGCUGGCGGCAGGCCUAACACAUGCAAGUCGAACGAACUCUUCGGAGUUAGUGGCGGACGGGUGAGUCACACGUGGGAACGUGCCUUUCGGCUGGGAAUAACUCAGGGAAACUUGUGCUAAUACCGAAUGUGCCCUUCGGGGGAAAGAUGUAUCGACUUGAGAGCGGCCCGGGUCUGAUUAGCUAGGUGGUGGGGUAAUGGCUCGCCAAGGCUACGAUCAGUAGCUGGUCUGAGAGGAUGACCAGCCACAUUGGGACUGGGACACGGCGCAAACUCCUACGGGAGGCAGCAGUGGGGAAUCUUGCGCAAUGGCGAAAGCCUGACGCAGCCAUGCCGCGUGGAUGAUGAAGGUCUUAGGAUUGUAAAAUCCUUUCACCGGUGAAGAUAAUGACUGUAGCCGGAGAAGAAGCCCCGGCUAACUUCGUGCCAGCCGCCGCGGUAA